rnacentral:rRNA from 1 species
CCGUGCGAAGGUAGCAUAAUCACUUGUUCUUUAAAUGAGGACUCGUAUCAACGGCAUCACGAGGAUCCUACUGUCUCCCCCCUCUAAUCGGUGAAACUGAUCUCUCCGUGAAGAAGCGGAGAUGUACAUAUAAGACGAGAAGACCCCAUGGAGCUUUAAACCCAACAACACCCGCCCCCCUCCAAAUCCUAUUAUUUACCCGGUGAUUGUUUGUUUGGUUUUAGGUUGGGGUGACCGCGGAGUAUAAGAUAUCCUCCAUGAAAAAAAGCUAACUGCCCUUAUUAGAGAAAGACACUUCCAAAAAAUAAUAAAUUAAUUUUAAAUGAUCCGACAUUCGAUCAACGAACCAAGUUACCCUGGGGAUAACAGCGCAAUCCGUCCCGAGAGCCCCUAUCGACAGGCGGGUUUACGACCUCGAUGUUGGAUCAGGGUAUCCCAGUGGUGCAGCAGCUACUAAAGGUUCGUUUGUUCAACGAUUAAAACCCU